UAGAUUGCAACACCAGGUUACGUGUGACGCAAGCACGUAAGUGAGUGCGAGCCCUCCCGGAACCCAUUCAGAAUGUAUUGCAGGGCCUGCAGUUCGAAAAAAAGAGCCUUAACAUGAGAGUCUAUGAGAGCAAUCCGGGGCGAUUUUCAGUCAAAGUGAAGUCGCCCCAAAAGGGGCGGUACUGUACGGAACGCAACUCGACGCCGAUUGGACUACGAUAUUCCGAGGCAAGACAGACUGUCCAGAACAGUCACAGCUGUGAUAGAAAAAUUUCUUCCCUUUCGCCCUUGGGUGGUGCGUCGCCCGAUCGCCCUAAGGAACGAGCCGCCCCUGGUUAAGCAAUGAAGUCGAGACUGCCCUGCCAACAAUGCUGCUCCUGCCAGAUGUGAUGGAUACCUGGCGUGUUUGCACCAAGAAUGUCAAUAAAUCACUACAGACUUUAUCACAGACUGGACUGAAUAAUAACUCCAAUUAUUUUUGCUAGUUAUAACUUUUAGUUCAUUUUAAUUUGUGUGUGUAUGAUACUGUGUAAAUCCUAUUCAUUCAAAUUAUUCUCCAGGCCACCCAAGAAGGAUGGGUCCCUGCUGAGUCCGGUUUUUCUCAAGGUUUCUUCCUGUAAUUUUAAGGGAGUUUUCCUUGCCACUGUCGCCUAGGCUUGCUCAACAGGGGUUUUGGUCUGUUGGUCCUGGAUUCUGUAAAGUUGCUUUGAGACAAUGUCUAUUGAAAAAAGCGCUAUAUAAAUAAAUUUUGACUUCA